rnacentral:misc_RNA from 1 species
GAUGAAGAACGUAGCGAAAUGCGAUAAGUAAUGUGAAUUGCAGAAUUCAGUGAAUCAUCGAAUCUUUGAACGCACAUUGCGCCCGCCAGUAUUUUGGCGGGCAUGCCUGUUCGAGCGUCAUUUCAACCAUCAAGCCCCCGGCUUGUGUUGGGGACCUGCGGCUGCCGCAGGCCCUGAAAACCAGUGGCGGGCUCGCUAGUCACUCCGAGCGUAGUAAUACAUCUCGCUCAGGGCGUGCUGCGGGUUCCGGCCGUUAAAAAGCCUUAUUUACCCAAGGUUGACCUCGGAUCAGGUAGGAAGACCCGCUGAACUUAAGCAUAUCAAUAAGCGGAGGA